AGAGUUUGAUUAUGGCUCAGAUUGAACGCUGGCGGCAGGCCUAACACAUGCAAGUCGAGCGGAUGAAGAGAUGAUUCAGCGGCGGACGGGUGAGUAAUGCCUAGGAAUCUGCCUGAUAGUGGGGGACAAUGUUUCGAAAGGAACGCUAAUACCGCAUACGUCCUACGGGAGAAAGGCCUUGCGCUAUCAGAUGAGCCUAGGUCGGAUUAGCUAGUUGGUGAGGUAAUGGCUCACCAAGGCAAUGACGGGUAGGCGGAGUGAGAGCUUGACCGCCAACAAUGGCACUGAGACACGGGCCAUACUCCUACGGGAGGCAGCAGUCGAGAAUAUUUGACAAUGGGCGAAAGCCUGAUCAAGCGACGUCGCGUGUGGGAUUAAGAUCUUCGGAUUGUAAACCACUUUUCUAGGGGAAGAACUUUGACUGUACCCUAGAAUAAGGGGUGACUAAACUCGUGCCAGCAGUAGCGGUAAUACGAGUGCCCCAAGCGUUAUCCGGAUUUAUUGGGCGUAAAGGGUCUGUAGGUGGUUUGUUAAGUUUCUCGUUAAACUCCAGGGCUUAACCUUGGAAAGCGGGAAAAACUGGCAAACUAGAGGAUGUUAGAGGCUGAUGGAACACUUGGUGAAGGGGUGGAAUCCGUUGAUAUCAAGUGGAACACCGAAAGCGAAAGCAAUCAGCUGGGACAGUCCUGACACUGAAAGACGAAAGCGUGGGGAGAAAAAGGAUUAGAUACCCUUGUAUUCCACGCCUUAAACGAUGAAUACUAGCUAUUGCAAGGUCGACCUUGCAGUGGCGAAGCUAACGCGUUAAGUAUUCCGCCUGGGAAGUACGGCCGCAAGGCUAAAACUCAAAGGAAUAGACGGGGACUACACAAGCGGUGGAUCACGUGGCUUAAUUCGAUAAUAAGCGAGGAACCUUACCAGGGCUUGAAAGGUUAAGAAGCAUUUCGAAAGAUUUGCCUACCAGACAUUAACCCAGGUGCUGCAUGGUUGUCGUCAGCAGGUGGCUUGAGUUGCUCCCUUAAAUGGGGUAACCUGCGCAACCCUUGCUCUAUGUUUCAUGUGUCAUAGAGGACUGCCUGGGACAACCAGGAGGAAGGUGAGGAUGACGCCAAAUCAGCAUGGCCCUUAUGUCCUGGGCUGCACACGUGAUACAAUGGGAUUGACAACGGGAAGCGAAAGAGUAAUCUGGAGCAAAUCCUAUCAAACAAUUCCCAACUCGGAUUGAGGUCUGAAACUCGACCUCAUGAAGUCGGAAUCGCUAGUAACCGCAGAUCAGCAUGCUGCGGUGAAUAUGUCCCUGGGUCUUGUACUCACCCCCGUC
rnacentral:rRNA from 1 species